rnacentral:tRNA from 4 species
GGAGGGGUGGCAGAGCGGUUGAAUGCGGCGGUCUUGAAAACCGCUUUUCGAGAAAUCGAAACGGGGGUUCGAAUCCCUCCCCCUCCGCCA